rnacentral:rRNA from 1 species
UUGGAGGGCAAGUCUGGUGCCAGCAGCCGCGGUAAUUCCAGCUCCAAUAGCGUAUAUUAAAGUUGUUGCAGUUAAAAAGCUCGUAGUUGAAUUUCGGGAUCAGUACGCUGGUCGUGCCUUCGGUAUGCACUGGUGUCACUGGUUCCUACCUUCUGAAGAACCAUCAUGCCAUUCAGUUGGUGUGGUGGGGAAUCAGGACUGUUACUUUGAAAAAAUUAGAGUGUUUGAAGCAGGCUCGCGCUUGAAUACAUUAGCAUGGAACAAUGAAAUAGGACGUUUGACCCUAUUUUGUUGGUUUCUAGGAUCGACGUAAUGAUUAAUAGGGAUAGUUGGGGGCAUUAGUAUUCAAUUGUCAGAGGUGAAAUUCUUGGAUUUAUUGAAGACUAACUACUGCGAAAGCAUUUGCCAAGGAUGUUUUCAUUAAUCAAGAACGAAAGUUAGGGGAUCGAAGACGAUCAGAUACCGUCGUAGUCUUAACCAUAAACUAUGCCGACUAGGGAUCGGAUGAUGUUAAUUUUUUAAUGACUCAUUCGGCGCCUUACGGGAAACCAAAGUGUUUGGGUUC